rnacentral:misc_RNA from 1 species
GAUGAAGAACGUAGUGAAAUGCGAUAAGUAAUGUGAAUUGCAGAAUUCAGUGAAUCAUCGAAUCUUUGAACGCACCUUGCGCUCCUUGGUAUUCCUUGGAGCAUGCCUGUUUGAGUAUCAUGAAAUCUUCAAAGUCAAACCUUUUGUUAAUUCAAUUGGUUCUGCUUUGGUAUUGGAGGAUUAUUGCAGCUUCACACCUGCUCCUCUUUGUGCAUUAGCUGGAUCUCAGUGUUAUGCUUGGUGCCACUCAGCGUGAUAAGUUAUCUAUCGCUGAGGACACCCUGUUAAAAAGGGGUGGCCAAGGUAAAUGCAGAUGAACCGCUUCUAAUAGUCCAUUGACUUGGACAAUAUCUAAUUUAUGAUCUGAUCUCAAAUCAGGUAGGACUACCCGCUGAACUUAAGCAUAUCAAUAAGCGGAGGA